rnacentral:rRNA from 1 species
UACGUACCGGACGAACGUUAUUCGGAAUUACUGGGCUUAAAGAGUUCGUAGGCGGCUUGGAAGGUGGGGCGUGAAAUCCCUCGGCUUAACCGAGGAAGUGCGCUUCAAACCACCAGGCUUGAGGGAGACAGGGGUGAGCGGAACUGAUGGUGGAGCGGUGAAAUGCGUUGAUAUCAUCAGGAACACCGGUGGCGAAGGCGGCUCACUGGGUCUCUUCUGACGCUGAGGAACGAAAGCUAGGGGAGCGAACGGG